rnacentral:rRNA from 1 species
GACGAACGCUGGCGGCGUGCUUAACACAUGCAAGUCGAACGAUGAACCCGGAGCUUGCUCCGGUGGAUUAGUGGCGAACGGGUGAGUAACACGUGAGUAACCUGCCCUCGACACUGGAAUAGCCCGGGGAAACCCGGAUUAAUGCCGGAUAGCCCCUCAGCCCUUCGGGGCGGUGGGAAAAGGUAGCUUUGGCCUCUGGUCGAGGAUGGGCUUGCGUCGGAUUAGCUUGUUGGUGGGGUAAUGGCCCACCAAGGCGACGAUCCGUAGCUGGUCUGAGAGGACGAUCAGCCACACUGGGACUGAGACACGGCCCAGACUCCUACGGGAGGCAGCAGUGGGGAAUCUUGCGCAAUGGGCGAAAGCCUGACGCAGCGACGCCGCGUGCGGGAAGAAGGCCUUCGGGUUGUAAACCGCUUUCAGGAGGGACGAAGCCACUCGGGUUAAUAGCCCAGAGGGUGACGGUACCUCCAGAAGAAGCCCCGGCUAACUACGUGCCAGCCGCCGCCGUAA